rnacentral:rRNA from 1 species
UGGGGAAUUUUGCACAAUGGGGGAAACCCUGAUGCAGCGACGCCGCGUGAUUUAGAAGGCCUUCGGGUUGUAAAAAUCUUUUCUAUGGGAAGAAAAUGACAGUACCAUAGGAAUAAGGACUGGCUAAUUACGUGCCAGCAGCCGCGGUAAUACGUAAGGUCCGAGCGUUGUCCGGAAUCAUUGGGCGUAAAGGGUACGUAGGCGGGUAAGCAAGUUAGAAGUGAAAUCCUGUAGCUCAACUACAGUGAGCUUUUAAAACUGCUCAUCUUGAGAUAUGGAAGGGAAAGUGGAAUUCCUAGUGUAGCGGUGAAAUGCGCAGAUAUUAGGAGGAAUACCGGUGGCGAAGGCGACUUUCUGGCCAUAAUCUGACGCUGAGGUACGAAAGCGUGGGUAGCAAACAGG